AGUGUAGAUUCAGAGUUUGAUCCUGGCUCAGGAUGAACGCUGGCGGCGUGCUUAACACAUGCAAGUCGAACGGUGAAGCCCCGCUUGCGGGGUGGAUCAGUGGCGAACGGGUGAGUAACACGUGAGCAAUCUGCCCCUGACUCUGGGAUAAGCGCUGGAAACGGCGUCUAAUACUGGAUACGAACCGUGGAGGCAUCUUCGACGGUUGGAAAGAUUUUUUGGUCAGGGAUGAGCUCGCGGCCUAUCAGCUUGUUGGUGAGGUAAUGGCUCACCAAGGCGUCGACGGGUAGCCGGCCUGAGAGGGUGACCGGCCACACUGGGACUGAGACACGGCCCAG
rnacentral:rRNA from 1 species